rnacentral:rRNA from 1 species
CUGGCUCAGGAUGAACGCUAGCGGCAGGCUUAACACAUGCAAGUCGAGGGGCAUCGGGAGUAGCAAUACUGCCGGCGACCGGCGCAAGGGUGCGUAACGCGUGAGCAACAUGCCCGUAUCAGGGGGAUAAUCCAUGGAAACGUGGUCUAAUACCCCAUAGUAAUUAUGUAAGGCAUCUUAUAUAAUUUAAAGCUUUGGUGGAUACGGAUUGGCUCGCGUGACAUUAGCUGGAUGGUAAGGUAACGGCUUACCAUGGCUACGAUGUCUAGGGGUUCUGAGAGGAAGGUCCCCCACACUGGAACUGAGACACGGUCCAGACUCCUACGGGAGGCAGCAGUGAGGAAUAUUGGACAAUGGAUGGAAAUCUGAUCCAGCCAUGCCGCGUGCCAGGAAGACGGCCCUAUGGGUUGUAAACUUCUUUUGUAUGGGAGCAAUAAGGCCUACGAGUAGGCUGAUGAGAGUACCAUACGAAUAAGCACCGGCUAACUCCGUGCCAGCAGCCGC